AUUUUGCGUUAGGGAUUGAAGCGAUAUCCUUUUUAUUUAGAAACGUUGUAAAACGAUGACUUGUACAUAAAAAGAUAAAGAGGAAAGCCCGACCUUUA
rnacentral:sRNA from 1 species